rnacentral:pre_miRNA from 1 species
AAUGGAAUCGGCGCGGUCCACUAUACCGGGUGACCGAAAUGUCGCGCAAACUGUAUUGAAACGGCGAUCGGGAUACGGAUUGCGUGACUUUUCGACCACCCAGUGUGUGAAACGCACCCACCCCCAAAAGUCCGUA